GUGAGGAAUAUUGGUCAAUGGGCGGGAGCCUGAACCAGCCAAGUCGCGUGAAGGAAGAAGGAUCUAUGGUUCGUAAACUUCUUUUGCAGGGGAAUAAAGUGCAGGACGUGUCCUGAUUUGUAUGUACCCUGAGAAUAAGGAUCGGCUAACUCCGUGCCAGCAGCCGCGGUAAUACGGAGGAUCCGAGCGUUAUCCGGAUUUAUUGGGUUUAAAGGGUGCGUAGGUGGUUUGAUAAGUCAGCGGUGAAAGUUUGCAGCUUAACUGUAAAAAUGCCGUUGAAACUGUCGGACUUGAGUGUAAAUGAGGUAGGCGGAAUGCGUGGUGUAGCGGUGAAAUGCAUAGAUAUCACGCAGAACUCCGAUUGCGAAGGCAGCUUACUAAGCUACAACUGACACUGAAGCACGAAAGCGUGGGGAUCAAACAGGAUUAGAAACCCGAGUAGUCC
rnacentral:rRNA from 1 species